GAUGAACGCUGGCGGCGUGCCUAAUACAUGCAAGUCGAGCGAACAGAUGAGGAGCUUGCUCCUCUGACGUUAGCGGCGGACGGGUGAGUAACACGUGGAUCACCUACCUAUAAGACUGGGAUCACUUCGGGAAACCGGAGCUAAUACCGGAUAAUAUAUUGAACCGCAUGGUUCAAUAGUGAAAGACGGUUUUGCUGUAACUUAUAGAUGGAUCCGCGCCGCAUUAGCUAGUUGGUAAGGUAACGGCUUACCAAGGCUACGAUGCGUAGCCGACCUGAGAGGGUGAUCGGCCACACUGGAAGUGAGCCACGGUCAAGGGUCCUGCGGGAGGCAGCAGUAGGGAAUCUUCCGCAGUGGGCGAAAACCUGACGGAGCAACGCGGCGCGAGUGAUGAAGGUCUUCGGAUCGUAAAACUCUGUUACUAGGGAAGAACAAAUGUGUAAGUAACUAUGCACGUCUUGACGGUACCUAAUCAGAAAGCCACGGCUAACUACGUG
rnacentral:rRNA from 1 species